rnacentral:lncRNA from 10 species
CAGAAUGUUCCUUGCUGCAGAUGCAUUGGCCCCAUCUGCAGGUCCUCUUUGACACCUACCUUACUCUCUCCCUCCACUCACACUCUGAGAACUGUGCUCAGGGGCAGCGCUACAACUUCCACAUUGGUCUUUACAGGGCUUGAGUGAUUAUUUCAAGAACAGAACGCUGUGUGGAAACCUUUACCAUAUUUCGUUGUAUCUAAGACACAUUUUUUUUUUUUGAAAUUUAACAUCUCUAAGGUUGGGUUAUGUUUCUUCAUCAUUGUCAGGUUGGAGCUUAAUCAGCAGCACUUUUUUUUAAUGUCACACACAGUAAUGGUGAUGCAUCUCACAAUUGAGAUCAUCUUAGACAUGAUGGAAUAUGGAAUCGUGUGCCUGUUACAAGCCAGGCUCUUGUCUGGGUUCUAGAGACGGUGGAAACCAAGACAGCACCAUCCUCUAGUGGUGUUCACAUCCCACCACAGUGGAGUCAGGACUUUGAAGUCCUCCAUUGGAUCUUCUCGGAAGAUGAGGGAAAUGAGAGAGUGUGGAGAGAGAUUUUGUAAGUCCGGUCUGGAAGUGGUCAUUGUUCAGAAUCCAGCCACGUGGGUACAUGGAACUGUAAGAAUAUGUUCUGUGGACACUACAGAUGCAGAUUAAAUCACCUGCAAAGUGAAUCUGUCAGCCCUAACAAUAAGAAUAGCUCUUUUAUGAUGAGCAGGUGAGACCAGGUAAUUACCGAAGAAAGAGAGUGAUGUGUUCAUUGAAGUCUACUCAUGGAGG